AGAGUUUGAUCAUGGCUCAGAACGAACGCUGGCGGCGUGGAUUAGGCAUGCAAGUCGAGCGAGAAAGCUCCCUUCGGGGGGUGAGUACAGCGGCGAACGGGUGAGUAACGCGUGGGAAACCUGCCUUCGAGCGGGGGGUAACAGUUCUAACGAACUGCUAAUACCGCAUGACACUACUGAUCGCAUGUUCAGUAGUUAAAGAUGGCCUCUACAUGUAAGCUGUCACUUGAAGAUGGUCCCGCGUCCUAUUAGCUUGUUGGUAGGGUAACGGCCUACCAAGGCAACGAUGGGUAGCCGGCCUGAGAGGGUGGUCGGCCACACUGGGACUGAGAUACGGCCCAGACUCCUACGGGAGGCAGCAGUCGAGAGGCUUCGGCAAUGGGGGAAACCCUGACCGAGCGACGUCGCGUGGGUGAUGAAGAUUCUUGGAUCGUAAAACCCUGUCAAGUGGGAUGAAACAUGUCUGGUUAAUAUCCAGGCGGAUUGACAGUACCACUAGAGGAAGCUCCGGCUAACUCCGUGCCAGCAGCCGCGGUAACACGGGGGGAGCAAGCGUUGUUCGGAUUUAUUGGGCGUAAAGAGCUCGUAGGCGGCUUCGUAAGUCAGAGGUGAAAUCUGAUGGCUCAACCAUCAACCCGCCUUUGAAACUACAAAGCUUGAGUUCAUGAGAGGAAAGUGGAAUUCCUGGUGUAGCGGUGAAAUGCNUANAUNUCNGNAGGAACACCAGUGGCGAANNGGCUUUCUGGCAUGAAACUGACGCUGAGGAGCGAAANCCAGGGGAGCGAACGGGA
rnacentral:rRNA from 1 species